CGCAUUGAGAGCAUUCGUAUGUUACGUCAUAAAAUAAACGCUGAUAUUUGUAACAUCUACCCUCCGUAUCCUUCUCAUGGUAAGGGUAGCAGGAGUACGACACAUAGUUGACCAUAAACCAUACUUUUUGAUGACGUAAUAUAUGAACGCUCCCUUCGCUAAAUUUGCACCCACUCUACUUUCACAUUUCGUGCUGGAUAAAAAUAUAUUCCAUAACGGCGAGAAGAAGGAGCCAUUUCUCUCGUAUCCUUACUUUUGCCGUGACAUAUUUAACUUAUCGAAAAAAAUGUAAAGUUUUUAUAACUUAAGAUACAUAAAGUGGGGGUGGUUUGGUUCGAUGGUGACGGUGGUCGACGGCGGUGUACCUGGAAUAAUGGAGAAACCAAGUUAACGCUUAUCAGUUUUGUGAUAUGUACCUGCUCAAUCAAUUUCGUGAACCUUGUAAAACUAGGAUGCCGAAAUUAACUAAAACUGGAGAGCUAAAAAUUUGUCGUUGUUUAUUUACAAACGGCGAUGUUCACCUUCCUAAAUCUGGAUUCAAGUUGAAGUGGCGAUUAAAUUUAAUUGGUUGACGGAAGACUAAUUAUUUCGAUUGAAAUUGUUACUGGACAAGCCGUUUUUAUCGGGAUUAAAUGAAGCACCAUUUAAAGGAUGAAACAGAACAGGACCGGAUGAAGUCGAACAUCGUUCGUAUUGAUUUGAUAAUGUAGUCCAUUAAAUAUUAUUUAGGUUUAAUUAGGUUAAUUAGCAUUUUGGCGUCACUUUACUCAUAUACUUACCAACCUAGUAUCGUUGCAUACUGCACCCCCCCUGAGAAAAAAUCGACAAUGUUUUUUUUGUAGAAAUUCCAUUUUGGAAAAUUUUUUAACUGUUUGGAAAAAUUUUAAAAAUUUUUCUAGAAUUUUAUGCGGAAAAUUAUGCCCAUCAAAGCACAAAUUUCCGCCAUUACAUUAUGAUGGAAUAUGGCGUUUAAUUGAACACGAUAAUUUGAAGUGCAUUAGUAUUCAGUGAUUCUUAUGCCGUCCCAUUUUGGGCUAAGAAAAAAUGUGUUUAUGAUAGAUCGAUAUGAUAGAUUAAAUGAAUUAUUUCGGAGAUAACAUAAUUGUUAUCUACAACUACUGCAGGCGAUCCACCCGCUUAACGGUGCGACCGGGGUCGUCUCAAGGGGUUCGAGACGACCAAUCGCUGUCGUACCAAGCCUCUUCAAAGAGGCCUCAGCCGGCCGGCUGGUAAUUAUAUAAAUACCGGAUCGCAUACCAAUUUGAGCUGCACAUAGCUAAAUGUUACUAGCGUAUUAAAAUUCCAUACAAAAAAUACGAUAUGAUGCACACGCAUCUAUGUGUGUAAUUGUCAGGAACGCUUACAAUCACAGCGAAGGCUAACGGUCCGUAGCUGAUUCGCUCAAUCUUAUACUUGAUUACCACCUUCACUCCAGUAGUGGCGGUCAUAGGCCGGAGUACGCGACUUUUUUUGGAGUACGGAGUAGGCGGAGGCCGGAGUACCCAAAAUAUCCGAUCUAUGGUGGCGGUAGCGCUAUAGACAUAUACAUAUAUGUAUUUUCAAUUUGGAAUCGGGUUAUGUAUGCUUUAUAUUACGCGACUUUUUGAAAGAAUCCGAAUUUUUUCACAUUGGGGGGGAUAUUGGUGAGCGGCGGGGGGGGGGGGGGGGUAUUUUACAUUACCCACCACAUGUAGUAGUUCCCCCCAUAUAAAGGGACGUUCAGAUGGUUUGCUGAAAUAAUAAAAAAACGUUGCAAAAGUGGAUGAAAACCUCUCUGCACAUGAUCUUAUCCAGUCAAAUGUGCUACACACGUAAUAGACAUACUAAUUUCAACAACAAGGUUCCUGUUGUAACCAUUCUUGGUGAGCUCUUGAAUGCUCUUUUUGCCCCCUUCGUAGCUCAAGCCUGAUGCGAUUCCGCCAAGAAUGGCGGUUCCAAGUAAUCCAAUGGCGGCCCCUAUCCGACGUUGUCGUUUUGACAACUAGUUCGAAUCGAUUAUGCAUAUAUGCAGUUAUCUAUAAUUCAAAUGCAGCUGCUUAAUUUUGACAGAAGGAAGCGCUGCUUGUAAAUUUCAUGCAUAAUGUAACAUGCACGCAAGUUAUUGGGUAAUCACAGAAAUUGAGAUUACCCUAGGUCAAUUUUUGUUUCACCUAAACUUCACUUGUAGAAAACUUAAAUUUGCAAGUUUUUAUUUGCUUGAAAAGCAAUUGUAAAAGCUGCACUAUUUAGACUACACCAUUUAAAAAGGAUAUAUAUGGAUUCCACCACAGCCAAUCAUUUAUGGUAUUAGAUAUAUAGUAUCCAAUGAACAACCACGCAUGGUCAGCGUAGUUAUAGAAUAGAUGGUGCCCAAUGUCAGUCAUUUCUGUUAUAAAAAUUAUAGAGUGACUGAUUUAAACACAAUAGGCUAAUAAAAAAAAUAAAAUCAUUAUCGGCAGCUAGAGGGUUCAAAGGGGCAUAUAAAUUUUCGGUUUUGGGAAGCUAUUUUCUUUGCGUUUGUAUGUACAGGGAAAAGCUACUUGGGCUAAUUUUGUGUCAGAGUUUUCCAAGCCGAAUACUACAGUUUAUGUACUAUUUAAAACUUUCCUGCUUGUUGUUAAGAUUAACAGUUUUAUAUUUCCGGCAACGUGAGUAAAAUAUAAUUUUACAUUAGUCAGGUUUGAUGGUGCUACAGUCAAAUUUGAAAUUUCUUUCAGCUUGACUCCUAUUUUUAUGAAGCAUAGAUCCUUGUAGAAAAUGUAUAUUUACAAGAGAUGCUUUUCAAAAGAUCUUGUACGAGGACGUUGUACAUAUGGCAUAUCUAAACGAAACAAUUUUUUUGCUAUGAAUUUAAGUUGUCCAUAUUUUCUUGAAAACUAACAUUAGCAACAUUGAAUUAUUUUUAAGGGAGAGUUAGGCCUUGUAUCAAUAUAGAAGUACCUACCUUGGGUUCUGUCUCUAGCCUAGCUAGGUAAAAAUUUAAAAAAUAUUUACUGCACCUUUUCAUGAUUUUCAUCACUGCGAAUAAAAAUUACGAAUCCGAAAACCGGAAGUUUUGGAGAAACUGCGUAUUCGAUUAAGCUUGCAGAGCUGAAAUCUGCUGACGUUUGAAAUACUUUAUAAAGAUAAACUAGGUCCUUUCUGACUCUAAUGUUUGGAAUUGAAGGAAUAGCUACUCUCUCCAGAAAGUAUCCGAUGCUGAAUCCAAUAUCAAGGAUACGGGUCUAGCCUGUUUAGUACAGGAGUGUAGUAGCGUUCUAUGAAAAUCACUUAUCUUUUAUGAAAGCAGGAAUUAACAUUUUGUUUGUAUGGUGAACUGAGUAAUUUCACGGUUACGAUUUUCCUUACGUGGAAAACUGGAUGCAAGGACAAGUUAAUUUAAAAAGACCCGUUUUAUUUCGAAUCUAAAUUUUCAAUAGGAGAAGAAACUUGUGGACUUGAUACAUUCAACAUUUACAAGUUCCAGGAACAGACUGUUCGAUUAGCUUAAAAUGCCAUCAUUGGAUAUGUAUGUACUUUAAAUAUAUUAUAGUUAUCAGAAAUGAGUAUCAUCGAAAUUUCUGAAUUAGGAGAUAUUUAAACACUCUAUUUUCAAAUACCGCGUUAAAGUUUAAGAUAUCAGUACGUACGAACUUGUUCUUACGGGUAAUUAUCCUUGUAAAAUGUGUAUAUUUACAAGACACAAUUAAAAAAAUUCCAAUGUGAUUCAUAGUACGUACAAUCAUACUAGUAUUUCUUGCUUGGGCAGCUACUUUUCGCACUAAUUUUGCAUGGGGUUUAUUUUGUUAGGUUUGUAGUCGAAUCAUCUACCAUUUAGUCUAAGUGGGUCUAGAAUGAAUUACCUUAAACUUUGUAUCCAUAAUCAGUUGCCAAUAGUUUGGAAUAACGAAGCAUGCACAUGCAUAUAUCUUGUUAUUCUUUUCUUCUAUUCUUCUUCUGGAGGGCAAUGAUUCUCGUAAAAAAUGUAUGCAUAUUUACAAAGAACGUACAAUCGGCGUAUUUAUAAAAUCUCCGGCUUACUCUUAUUAGUUACUUCUUGAUGUAUGUAUAAACUCAAAAAGUAAAAAGAAAAUGUGUCUGCAAUAAAAUCAGGUGAAGUGAAACAACCCAAAAAAAAUGUGCGCAGAGGGGUUUUUCAGAAAUGUGCCUUUUUAGUUUUAAGGAUCACAAAUGAAUCUCAAAAAACUCAAUAAUAUAGCGUCUUUAGCGUUAAUAAGUAUAAAAAUUUCAAAGAUAUUUACUGAACCUUUUAAUGAUUUUCGUCACUGCGAUUUGAAAUUACGAACCCGAAAACGGAAGUUUUUGGAGAAACUGCGUUGUCCACUAUUCUGUGGAGAGUGAGACGAAACCAGGUCCACUUGAUAAUCAAUCAGGAACACACCUGAUUUGAAAAAUGUGCCCAUAACUUAUUGGUUUUCUACGCUGGACACAUCUCACAUUUAUCUAUCCUGUUAAGUAAAAUAUUGGAUUUUCAUCUGCCGAUUGUAAACCUACGUGGUAAAUGCAUGGUCUGCAAAUUAUUACAUACUAUAACUGAACAGGGCUUCUAUUUGAGUAGGUUUAUUUGUAACGGGUGUCCAUAAAAAUGAAUGCUUUGAAAUUAGCAUAUUUUCCGACCUGAAUUUAGUAUAUUACCUGGGAAAGUUAGGUAUUCUGUGUAUGUAAUAGGGUAUAACAAGUAUGAAAAGUAAAACACAUACGCGGUUGUCUUGUCUCAUCUAGUGUUUCGGACAUUACAAUCAUACACUCGAAACAAAAAUUUGUCAAAUAAGUAUCAAUAUAUGACUUAACCGCCUUGGUUAAAAUAUUGACUCCGAGUUAUGACGAUUCUGAUACCGGCAGUUAUAAUGUUAUGACCGGACGGAAUAAUUUGAUUACCGCUCGGAAUCGCAAUUGUAACCAAAGCGGUUAAAUCAUAAAUUGACACCGGGGGUGUUGAUUUGACAAAUUUUUGUUUUGAUGACCAACACAAAAAUCGACAAAUUCGAAUUCGUUGGCUGAUAUUUUCCGUUCACGUAUAAUUUGUAACCUUAUCGAACACAUAUAAUGUUUUGUAACCCCUUUUUUCUUAAAUAAUUUCUUCCUAAUUACUGUUGUAUUGACAUGAAAUGCAAUCUUCGCAUAUGUACCAAAAAUGUGUUACAGUUAGUAAAAAAAGUGAUUUUUGUAUAUUUCUUAAUAUCGAAAUAUUCUGUUUUCCACAUACCGCGGUAAACUUCAAAGUAUCAGUAAGUAUGACCUUGUCCUUGGCGGUGAUUAUGUGUUCUUGUAAAAAAUGUACAUUUACAAGAUACAAUAUCAAAAAUUUCACAAUCUUACAAAUAAUAGCAUAUUGCACAUAUGUCUCGUUUCGACGAAAUGGGUUUUAUUUCGUUAGGCUUUUACCUGAAUCAUCUACCACUUAAUCUAAGUUGGUCUACAUAUCAAGCUCUGGGCUUAUACGUGAAAAAAUUGCAAAAGAGUUAACCGUUGAAGCUUGAUUAUACACAAUCAUAUCGACAACUUGAUUAUGUUUUGGGCAUUCUAAUUUAGGAUCUAGAUUUACGAAACUUCCUCUGUCACUAAGUUUCAGCUCGGAAAGAUCUGUUUGGGCCAGGGUUCGGAAAAUUCGGGGUGGCGAACCCUGGUCUGGGCUUUGAGGGAAAUAGGUGCGACUCGGCUUAGAGCAUACGGACAUGUGUUUGCUGUACCCUCAGGUUUCAUAAACGCAAAAAGAAUUUUCUGUGUUCCAGCCUGCUUGCUGAGUCCCACUGUGGAAUGUUUGAGUGAUUGGUCAGAUGAGCUGAGCACCUUUGGGUCUAAAAUGCAUAUCGUGAAAUACGAGAAAUUUUGACGUAUUUAUGUAUCAGAAAUGAAAUACACAAAUUUUCCGGAUCAAGAGGUGUGCAUCAUGCAGUGCAAACAGAAACAUUAGGAACGGCAGACAUACAUACAUUGGUUAGUAAAUGCACUGCCGUUUUCUAGAAAGCGGCUACAUUUAAUAGUUUUUAGGAAAUUAAAAAAUUUCCUCAAUGUUGUGUCUUUUCUGAAAAACGUAAUUUCUCAAAGGAGCAUUUCCAACACGAAUACUAGAUUUCAAGCGGUUGUAGAAAAAUGAGUUAGCCUGGUUCUCCAAUGUUUCCAGUUUACUUUCCUACGACAAAAUGACUUCGUCGGUGUUUAUGAGUUCAAUAAGUACGAAUUUUCUAGGUAAUAAUUUAGGUUAAGAAUAUAUAAAAUAUUGUUUACAUACGUAUUACAUGGACGUCAUUAUCUUCUCCAUUACGGUUAGGUUGGGUUGGGGUUGGAAUAAGGGUUGGGAUUGGAGUUGAGUGAGUUCUGCUUUAGUCAGUCAUCCGACCACAACCCACACGUUUCCACAUACCCAGAGGUAGCUGGAUCCACACAGCACCUACAACUCGGUGCUGGUUGGAAUGAAGAACAAUGUGCUACACUAUGCAUGGCGUCUUGAUCUUUAGUCGAUUCAUCUAAUUUUCUUAAAUAUAGUUUACAUACUACUCGAGCUAAACUGAUGACCAGGUGAGGUUCCGGUGGAAAAUCAUCUAAUGACAACACGAACGUUGCCAGCGACCUCAGCGCUUUAGGCUGGCCUUUCUGGUCGACAUAAUGAUUAGCUAAAUCCUCAAGCUUAGUUGUAGAAAUAAGCAGACUUUUCAUGUCGCUAUCGACAUGAUCCCCUACUAUUACGUUAUUAGCAGCGCAUUUAGCCACCAUCUUCUGAAUAGUACUCAAUUCAUAUCCACUUGCUAAUUCGUACUGACUUACACCACUUUGACGCGUGUUAUAAGAACAGGCUAAAUUCGGAUCCCAAUGCACCACGGCAUAAAGGAUCACCUCACACUUCUCAUCCACAAUAGCUAUGGCAGCAAUAUGUAUGUUUAGGCUUUUACCUGAAUCAUCUACCACUUAAUCUAAGUUGGUCUACAAAUCCAGCUCUGGGCUCCGUUAAAGCUUAAUUAUAAACAAUCAUAUAGACGACAACUUGAUUAUGUAUUGCGCAUUCAAAUUUAAGAUCUAGAUUUGCGAAGUUCCUCUGUCAUUAAGUUUCAGCUAGUAAAGAUCUGUUUGGGAUUUGAGAGAAAUAGGUGCGACUAGGAUUGGAUUGCUACACCCUCAGGUUUCAUGAACGUAAAAAGAGGUUUCUGCUUGCUGAGUCCAACUGUAGAAAUUUGGAGUGAUUGAUUUUGGGUGUAAAAUGCAUACCGACCUUGACCUUGUCCUUGGCGGUGAUUAUUCUUGUAAAAAAGUAUAUUUAUAAGAUACAAUUAAAAAAAUUCCAAUAUCAUUCAUACUACGUACAAGCAUACUAGUAUUUCUUGUAUGGGUAGCUACAUACUUUUCUCACUAAUUUUGCAUGGGUUUUAUUUUGUUAGGUUUGUACUCGAAGCAUCUACCAUUUAGUCUAAGUGGGUCUAAAGUGAAUUACUUUAACUUUGUAUGCAUAAUUAGUUUCCACUGUUUUGGAAUAACGAAGUAUGCAUAUACAUAUCUUAUUAUUCUCUUCUGAUAUUCUUCUAGGAGGUAAUUAUUCUUGUAAAAAAUGGAUGCAUAUUUAUGCACAAGAUAUAUGUAUUUGCCAAAAAUAUCCAGUAGUCGGUAUAUGUACAUAUAUAUGCCUUGCUACAACGUUGCAAUUUUUUCCCUAUGCUUUUAAGUAAUCCAAAUUUUGUUAGGUUUGUACUCGAGUGCAAACCAAUCAAGACCAUUAACGAUUAGUUUAAAUCGGUUUAAAACGGAAUACCUUAAUUUUUAAAGGCAAAGUUGACUGCAGUAGGCAAUUAUUAUGUACAUAUGGAUAGCUACAUAUACUUAUAUAUUUAAGAUAUCAAUAGAUAAAUUAUGGAUUUUUAAUAAUACUUCAAUUUAGCCUUAAUUUAGCCCAUAAUUAUGACAUUCUAGCAAGACAAAAUCCAAUACAGUCAAUGGAACAAGUAUAGGCACCACCCACUCAAGCUACAUAAAAUUGCCUAUAACUUUGGAGUGCAUUAUCAAAUUAGCAUUAAACUUUGUACACAUUUAGCAAAUCUAAUGUAGUGUUCGAUUAUAAUCAUGUUUUAUUGAUUAAAAUUGGAUAAACACAGUUUUUAAA